CCUGCAGCCCAACGGUGGCGCUCAUUGGCCCGGGCCUCGCCGUUGGCCACGCCCCUAGGGGGAGCUAGUCCAAAUGGGGAGGGUCACAUCCUCCCUGCGGCCUCGCCCCGGCGUCUCUGCGCCGUCUGGCCGCGCUGGCUGGUUACGGCAGAGGCCGCGGGGGACCCUCGCCAUGCCACCGGUGGUCGUCCUGCGGGGUUACAGAGGCCGCGACAAAGGAUGUAGCAGAGAGUGUAAGGGGAGGUUGCCUUUGCAUCCCGGAAGGUUUCCUGUUCUUUUGAGACAAAGAAACUGAGGCAACAGUUAAAGCAGGGAAGCGCCUGACAAAGUUCAAGUUUGUGAGUGCUUUCUCCCUGGUGUCACCUGUAUUUUAAGCCUCUUCAAACCCUGUUGGAAUGGAAAAGGGCAUUUCUAGGAGACCUGACUCCGAGAUCAUCCCCAGUUUCCCCAGUUAAGAAGAGGCAGGAAGCCAGGAUUGAUCCUAAUCAGAUCCUGGCUUGGAAGGAUGCUCUUCUCACUUUAGCAAAGACAGCUUCUACUUAUACUUUAGGACAUUGGCUUUCCACCUGCAAGUCCCCACAAAGAGAAAAUACCAGAGCGCAUCCAACAUAAGUAAAGAAAAGAGCAAGUCUUGGCUCCUGCACUUAAGAAGCUCUGAAUCUCGGGGUGAAGAGACGAACAUACCACUGGGGCACUAGGCCAGGGCUGAUGGUGGAAGAUGAACUAUGCUCCUCGUUCUAAUGGGGAAGAUAGAAUCCUGAAAUAAGAGAGACCACGUGACACCACUCCACUGCCAAAAGCAAGAAGGCAUACUGCAGAUCCCUGGGGGUCUGUGCUGCAACUCUCCUGCUGGAUCUUCCUGAGACACAGAACGGCAUCUUUACCUACCAUGGAUACGUUAGCACCACAGGACCUGCUGAGCUGUAGAGGCCAAGGAGCAGGGUAGUUUGCUUCAUACCCUGGAUCUACUGCAAAUCUCCUCUUGCUUUGUGCGUUAACUAGGAAAUAAAUGAAGCAAUGCUAUACUACCAAUGUGGUAUAUGAUGCCUCAAAAUCUGAGGAGUUCCAACAAGUUCUAUGCCUCUUUCUUAGUAAUAGGAGGUGCAGCAUCUUGUUCCAGGCGUGUUGCCCCCCUAAAACUUCACCAAUAGGGGCCAGCCCUGUGGUGGAGUGGUUAAGCUCAUGUGCUCCGCUUCGGUGGCCCAGGGUUUCACUGGUUCAGAUCCUGGGCGAGGACAUGGCACCCCUGGUCAGGCCAUGUUGAGGUGGCG
rnacentral:lncRNA from 1 species